CUGUAUUGCCUGCAUUGUGUAAGGGGCCAUCAUGUUAUUCCGAGAAGCCAAGGGGUAAUUUGGUUCCUGCACUACUGGAAGUGAGGAAACUAAAGAGCGAAAAUUAUGAUGUUGGACCCGCAAGGGAGUACCUGCAGAAGGCUUCUGAAGGGAGUAGAGAGCUCCAUGGGCAGGCUUGGUAACUGACCCUUCCUAAGGCUGUGCCAUUCAUCUCCAUUUUGGGGCAGAGGUGGAGCACCAGCAGCCAGCAGCACAGUGAGACACAGGGAAAAGAUAUCUGCCUUAGUGAGAUUGCUAUAAUCCUAGAGAAACAAAGAGCAUGCAGAGGUCAUGCUUGAGGCACUGUAGGCCAUGCCAAAGACGUGUUUGUAGUGGCAAGUUUACAUAAGGAUGUGUAGUGUGUACCGAUGUUAAAACAACCAGUUUACCUCCUGUAAAAUCUCACUGGCAAGAAAACGGCUGUCUCCCUCCUCAACUUCUGGACUGGUGAAUUUGGUCACAUGACCCAAGUCCCCUGCACAAAAUGUCAUGCAGUGGGUGACAUUGAGGUACAAAAACAUUAAAAGAACAAAUUACAUGGACAAUAAUACAUUUAUACCGAUUUUAUAGAUGACGCCUGCUGAAAAGCUUCCAUCUUCUUCAUCAGUGUCCCCUUCAUACUCUGCACUUUUGCCGUUCUGCUGGCAUAUGAAUAUGUUGCCUAUAAAAAAUAUAAAUAAAACCAAUCAAAUUGUCA